UUUUCGUAUAAAAUAUUUCGUACGUUCGAUGAAAAUCGAAUCGGAAGAUAGCAACUUGAAACGUAUGAGAACGUAAGCAAGAUGAGGAGGAGAAACAGUUUGCUAUGAAAUGAUUUGUAGUUAAAGUAAAUUGCACUUAUGAAAAGCAAAUCGGAAUUUAGAGUGGUUCGGUCAACGUGACCUACAUCCACUUUCAGAUUCCUCCGACGAGGUCUUCGGUGUCCACUAAAGACCUUCCUUCAAUAGGUGAAGACCAACCACCUUUUACAACGCUUUCUUCUUUUCACGGGUUUAGGAGAACCCUUACAAGUCUCACACCUCUCUUGAAUGAUCUCAACACCUAGAAAGGGAGGAGGACUCUAGUACUUGUUUACAAUACUUUUACACCCCAACAACUCAAGAUUAUCUCAAUGCUUUCGUGCCCUUUCAUGCAGGAAAGGGUGGGGUUUUUGUAGGCCCCAAUGGCUUCAAAAAUGGAGCCAAAAAGUGUCUAAUCCCGGAUUUCCGGGGUCCUGGUGGUACCAUCACCAUUACUGGGUGAUACCACAGCCUGACACCUGACACUAGGCGGUACUACCGCUUAGUCUGGGCGGUACCACCGCUGGCAGUAAUAAUUGUCGAUUGUACCACCGCUGGCAGUAAUAACUGCCGACGGUACCACCGCCUAGACCACCUGGGAGACCGGGUCUUCUGGGCGGUGCCACCGCCGGCCAUGUUUUCAAGGGCUGAUUGGGCUGUUCAAUCCGGCCCAAAUCAACCCUAUUAAGGGCCCAAUUGGCCUCUAAUUAAGUUAGUGGGAUUACCUCCCAAUCCUAACUUAAUAUAUGCUCUAAUUACAAUAAUUAAGACAUGAUCACAGCUCUUCUUGUUCCGGUGCGUCAAUUGCUCUUCCGGCGAGCUUCUGGCAUACUUCCGGCGAACAUCCGACGUACUCUCCGCAAUGCUCCAGCAGACUCCCGGCAAGCUCCUGGACUUUACGAUAAUCUUCUUGGUAAGUUCCGACGAGCUUCUUUGGCAAGCUCCUGGACUUCUCGCUUGGUUUCGGUAGAACUUACGACGAACGUUCGGACUUCCGACGAACUCUCGAACUCCCAACGUGAUCUCGAUCUUGACUCCAGCACAAUACUUGCUUUAUGUCUUACUGCUAUCGUAGUUAAUCUUGUACACUUUUCUCAAUAUAUAGAUUAGAUCAAACAAAUUACAAUUGAUUUCAUCAUCAAAAUCCGAGAUUCAACAAUUUUCUUUCGAGCUUUCAAAUUACAUAUCUUAUAUUGACUGAAGCAAUGAUAAAUUAUUAAGUAGUUGAUUUAUGCACAUAUAUGGACAAUGCAACUGUUGAUUACCAUAUGCCUUGAGCAUCCACUAUCAAGGUACCAUCUCUUGCUCCUAGCUUGUGAUGGUAUAUGUUUCUACAAAAGAGGAUGAUUUUUAGAUACCCAUUUGACCUUGGGUGCCUAAAAAAUCGAUCGGCUUAACUUAUCAUUUUGCAUGGAAUUCUUUACGGUUCCUUUAGGAACCCAAAUUAAUUUAUGUGGACUACACUUCUUAAAUGGACAAUGAUAAUCUACAUGUCCAAGUUUGCAACAAAAGUUGCAUUUGUUUUAUGGUGAAAUAUGCAAUAUAGGGCCUUUAACAAAGGUGGUUGGAUUUUGGUGAGAGCUACUCACAAAUCCGAUUCCACUUCUUUUAUGAACGUGACCUUUAUUGGCAAGGAUCAUGUUCAAGGACUUGCUACCAACCUCAAAUUUUUCUAAGGUUUCUUUGAGUAGCAAGUUUUCCUUUCUAAGUGUUUCUACUUCAUGGCAUUUCGUACAUGGAGCUAAACUAUCAUUAUGCUCAACGUUUAAUCUAUUGUAAUCACUAACAAGAGAAUCAUGUUUCUUUUUUAUUAAUUGAGUUGCAUUUAUCAAAUAAAUCAUGAAAAGCAUUUAAUAGUUCAUCAAAUGAUAAAUUUGCAUUAAUCGAACUUGUUACCUCUUCUCCAAUGGCCAUUAGUGCAUAGUGAGCAACUUGCUCAGUGUUGGUUGGCUCCUCUUCUUCGGAUGCACUUGAGUCGUCCCAUGUUGCUUUGAGAGCUUUCUUCUUUGGUGUCCUCUUCUUGGUUUGGGGACAUUCGUUCUUGUAGUGUCUUGGCUUCUUGCAUUCAUAACAUAUUACUUGAUCUUUCUUGGAUUCAAAUUUAUUUUUAGUGUCAUUUUUAAAUUUAUUCCUUUUUAUGAUUUUUUUAAAUUUCCUUGUUAAAAGUGUCAAGUCUUCAUCAAGGUUCUCAUCACUUGAGUUUUCUUUCAAGUGAUCUUCUUGGGUUCUUAGUGUCAUAUCCUUCCUGUUCUUUGGAAGGGUGUCCUCAAGCUCUUCAUGAGCUUUACAAGUCAUCUCAUAGGUCAUUAGUGACUCAAUUAGUUUUUUGAGAGGAAAAUUAUUUAAAUCUUUGGCCUCUUGAAUGGCCGUGACUUUAGGGUCCCAACUCUUUGGAAGGGAUCUUAAAACUUUAUUAACGAGUUUAAAAUCCGAGAAACCUUUACUAAGUCCUUUUAGAUCAUUGAUAACAUCCGUAAAUCGAGUGUACAUGUCUCCAAUAGUCUCACUCGGUUUCAUCCGAAAUAACUCAUAAGUGUACACUAAAAGAUUAAUUUUCGACUCCUUCACUCUACUAGUGCCUUCAUGAGUCACUUCGAGUGUGUGCCAAAUAUCAAAAGUCGUUUCACAAAUCGACACUCGAUUAAACUCGUUUUUAUCUAAUGCACAAAACAAGGCAUUCAUAGCCUUGGCAUUUAAAGUGAAAGUCUUCUUCUCCAACUCAUUUCAAUCGUUCAUUGGAAGAGAUGACUUUUGAAAACCGUUUUCGACAACGUUCCAAAGCUCAAAAUCCAUUGAAAUUACGAAGAUCCUCAUUCUAGUCUUCCAAAAUGUGUAAUCCGUCCCAUUGAACAUGGACGGACGUGUAAUUGAAUGACCUUCUUGGUUGCCGGCAAAUGUCAUCUCUCUUGGGUUUUAAACCAAACGAGAGUGAACCUUGCUCUGAUACCAAUUAUUAGGAUCAAGAGCAGCACUAAGAGGGGGGGGUGAAUUAGUGCAACGGAAAAUUCUUCGAUUUUCGUAUAAAAUAUUUCGUACGUUCGAUGAAAACCGAAUCGGAAGAUAGCAACUUGAAACGUAUAAGAGCGUAAGCAAGAUGAGGAGGAGAAGCAGUUUGCUAUGAAAUGAUUUGCAGUUAAAGUAAAUUGCACUUAUGAAAAGCAAACCAGAAUUUAGAGUGGUUCGGUCAACGUGACCUACAUCCACUUUCGGAUUCCUCCUUCGACGAGGUCUCCGGCGUCCACUAAAGGCCUUCCUUCAAUAGGUGAAGACCAGGCACCUUUUACAGCGCUUUCUCCUUUUCACGAGUUCAGGAGAGAACCCUUACAAGUCUCACACUUAUCUUGAAUGAUCUCAACACUUAGAAAGGGAGGAGGAGGACUCUAGCACUUGUUCACAACACUUUUACAUCCCAACAACUCAAGAUUAUCUCAAUGCUUUCGUGCCUUUUCAUGCAAGAAAGGGUGGGAUUUUUGUAGGCAAAAAUAGAGCCAAAAAGUGUCUAAUCCUGGAUUUCCGAGGUCCUGGCGGUACCAUCGCCAUUAUUGGGUGGUACCACCGCCUGACACCUGACACUGAGCAGUACUACCGCUCAGUCUGGGCAGUACCACCACUUGACAAAGCUCGGAGACUGAGCUUUGGCGGUACCACCGCCUGACAGGGGUGGUACCACCGCCCAUACCACUUGGGAGACUGGGUCUUUUGGGCGGUGCCACCGCCGGCCAUAUUUUCAAGGGCUGAUUGGGCUAUUCAAUCCGGCCCAAAUCAGCCCUGUUAAGGGCCCAAUUGGCCCCUAAUUAAGUUAGUGGGAUUACCUCCCAAUCCUAACUUAAUUUAUGCUCUAACUACGAUAAUUAAGAUAAGAUCACAGCUCUUCUUGUUCCGGUGCGUCAAUUGCUCUUCCGGCGAGCUUCCAACAUACUUCCGACGAACUCUCGACAAUGCUUCGGCGGACUCCCGGCAAGCUCCUGGACUUUACGACGAUCAUCUUGGCAAGUUCCGACGAGCUUCGUUGGCAAGCUCCUAGACUUCUCGGUUGGUUUCGGUAGGACUUCCGACGAACUCUCGAACUCCCAACGUGAUCUCGAUCUUGACUCCAGCACAAUACCUGCUUUAUGUCUUACUGCUAUCGUAGUUAAUCUUGCAC
rnacentral:lncRNA from 1 species